AUUUUUUGCAAACUGAAAGCAAUACUAUUGCAAGAAAGGAUCCAAUGCAGCUGGUCCAAGGCAGACACUUCUCCAUACAGAGGAAUUUCAGGUACGUGAAGUGGUCAUGCACAGAAGCAAGGGCUUUGUAGAGCAUGCCAGCUGAAAAACUUGGAACUGUGUAGCAGUAUCUAGCCACUGAAUUGCUUAGUUUUUCCACGUGAUCUGAACUCCCUUCCCCUGAAUAAGAAGGAUUCCACAUUCAGGCAACUGGAUGACAGACACAGAAAAGAAGUCUGAUAUUAUUAAAGAAGGAGACGCUGCGCUAAUGAUAUCUAUAAAAGGAUUUGAUGACGUAUAGGAG
rnacentral:lncRNA from 1 species